UGCCAUGGCUACUCAUAGCAAUUUGAAGAAUGCUUUGAUUGCCUUUCUUGCUCCACUUCCCUCUUUACUUUUCUAUCUAUCUUUCCUUCGCCAUUAUCAUGAAGAUCAUCCAAUCUACAAUUGGUGUUACCACCACCCUCUUCUGUUUGCUAAUGUCUUGUUUUUCUUCAAUGUCAAUAUCCUCUUCUAUGCCAUUAGUUACAUCCAAUCUAGUCACUGGAUGA
rnacentral:misc_RNA from 1 species